rnacentral:lncRNA from 1 species
AAAUGACACAUUAACGAUUUCCACAAUUUAUAUGUCUCUCUCUCCAUGAAACACAAGCCUCGAUAGAAGCACACAAGAAGAAUUAGCACUUCAGAGCGGGGAUGCAUUUUGGAGAAGAAAACUCCUUUUUCCCAUUCAUUUUUUGAAGGACCCAUGAAACUGAAGCAACUUUUUUGCACCAAUAGAUACUACUGAACUUUAGACAAAAAGUCAUUUUGAAACAAUACAUGGUCAUAACAGCAGCAGGGAAGCGAGAUUUCUGCUACAGGAGCAAAUACGAAGCAGUAGCGAUCUGAUCAUUUGUGUUCAAACUUAGUUGGGUUCACAACAUAAACUUCAAAAAAAUCUACACAUCAUACACCACAGCACGCAAGCAACACACCCAGCGCUCACAAAAAUGCCAGGACGCACACACACACACACCAGUGCAUGAACAAACGCAUUCAGCACGCACCCUACGUCUUGCUCAGGGCGCACUCGGAGGGCGUUGGUGGACUGGCCGCGGAGGUCGUGAGAACGCAAGGCAGACGCGGCGGCGGACGGGACGCGGAGCUCAAGGCAGAUGGUGGUCGUGACGGCGCUCCAUCCAAAAACGAGAUCGCACACCACACAGCGCCUUGUAUCCAUCGACAAGAUGCUAAAAGCAAGUAGUGCAAGUGAUUAAGGACUCCGACAACCGCAAAGAGGUAGAAGUUUAGUUUUCAUGUAAACUUCAGAUUCAGAGGUGCUUAUCUUCCUCUGUGAGUGACCGUACUAGCCAAAAUUCAGAAAAGAAAACAGUGGUGAGAAGGAAUGCUGAUGUUUGCUGCACCUGGAGACAUGCCGCGGGAGUGAGGCGCUGCGAAGGUGUUGAGGCACCUGGAGACAUGGG